rnacentral:rRNA from 1 species
UACGAAGGGGGCUAGCGUUGCUCGGAAUCACUGGGCGUAAAGCGCACGUAGGCGGGUCUUUAAGUCAGGGGGGAAAUCCCGGAGCUCAACUCCGGAACUGCCUUUGAUACUGGAGAUCUUGAGUCCGGGAGAGGUGAGUGGAACUCCGAGUGUAGAGGUGAAAUUCGUAGAUAUUCGGAAGAACACCAGUGGCGAAGGCGGCAUCCUGGACCGAGAUUGACGCUGAACAGCGAAAGCUAGGGGAGCAAACGGG